rnacentral:rRNA from 1 species
AUACAGAGGGAGCAAGCGUUGUUCGGAAUUACUGGGCGUAAAGGGCGCGUAGGCGGUUCAGCAAGUCUUGUGUGAAAUCCCCCGGCUCAACUGGGGAACUGCAUAGGAAACUGCUGGACUUGAGUUCGGGAGAGGGAAGCGGAAUUCCGGGUGUAGCGGUGAAAUGCGUAGAUAUCCGGAGGAACACCGGUGGCGAAGGCGGCUUCCUGGACCGAUACUGACGCUGAGGCGCGAAAGCUAGGGUAGCAAACGGGAUUAGAAACCCCAGUAGUCC